rnacentral:rRNA from 1 species
AGCUGCUACGGCAGUGAAGUCAUUGAUGCCAUGCUUCCAGGAAAAGCCUCUAAGCUUCAGAUAGUCAGGAAUCGUACCCCAAACCGACACAGGUGGUCGGGUAGAGAAUACCAAGGCGCUUGAGAGAACUCGGGUGAAGGAACUAGGCAAAAUGGUACCGUAACUUCGGGAGAAGGUACGCUCUUGAUGGUGAAGUCCCUCGCGGAUGGAGCUGACGAGAGUCGCAGAUACCAGGUGGCUGCAACUGUUUAUUAAAAACACAGCACUGUGCAAAAUCGCAAGAUGACGUAUACGGUGUGACGCCUGCCCGGUGCCGGAAGGUUAAUUGAUGGGGUUAGCGCAAGCGAAGCUCUUGAUCGAAGCCCCGGUAAACGGCGGCCGUAACUAUAACGGUCCUAAGGUAGCGAAAUUCCUUGUCGGGUAAGUUCCGACCUGCACGAAUGGCGUAAUGAUGGCCACGCUGUCUCCACCCGAGACUCAGUGAAAUUGAAAUCGCUGUGAAGAUGCAGUGUACCCGCGGCUAGACGGAAAGACCCCGUGAACCUUUACUACAGCUUGGCACUGAACAUUGAACCUACAUGUGUAGGAUAGGUGGGAGGCUAUGAAGACGUGACGCCAGUUGCGUUGGAGCCGUCCUUGAAAUACCACCCUUGUAUGUUUGAUGUUCUAACUUAGACCCAUUAUCUGGGUUGAGGACAGUGCCUGGUGGGUAGUUUGACUGGGGCGGUCUCCUCCCAAAGAGUAACGGAGGAGCACGAAGGUGGGCUAAUCACGGUUGGACAUCGUGAGGUUAGUGCAAUGGCAUAAGCCCGCUUAACUGCGAGAAUGACGGUUCGAGCAGGUGCGAAAGCAGGUCAUAGUGAUCCGGUGGUUCUGUAUGGAAGGGCCAUCGCUCAACGGAUAAAAGGUACUCCGGGGAUAACAGGCUGAUACCGCCCAAGAGUUCAUAUCGACGGCGGUGUUUGGCACCUCGAUGUCGGCUCAUCACAUCCUGGGGCUGAAGUCGGUCCCAAGGGUAUGGCUGUUCGCCAUUUAAAGUGGUACGCGAGCUGGGUUUAGAACGUCGUGAGACAGUUCGGUCCCUAUCUGCCGUGGGCGUUGGAAGAUUGAAGGGG